AUGUAUAUCCGUUUCGUCGAAACGAAUCGAUCGGAGGAUAAAUAUUAUUUUGGAGGUCCGUCCAAUUUUUGGCGAAGGAAAAAUUAUUGAUUAUCGCAAUUUAUUUGCAAAAUAUUUUUGCGAAUCGACAGUUAUUCGCUUUUUGAACAAUAUUUAAAAAUUUUUUUUUUCUUUAUUUUAAAAAGCUGGUAUCUUUCGAAGCUAGUUCCGUUCAUUAUAUAUUUGAUAAUAACCGCAAAGAUAAAGUUAUCUUUGCAUUUAUUUUCUAAGUAAACAUAUUAAAAAUAUUAAAAAUAUGAGAACAGAAAAGUUGAAAAUAUCGAUAAAAAUUAAUAUAUGCACUUAAAAACGAAGUGGGUGCUAUUUGUAUCGCCUGCAAACUACGAUUUUAAAAUGUUUACACGGUCAACUAGUUCUUCUUAGUACGUACAAUUUGGACUAAUAUUAUCGGCAAAAUUUACAAGUCAUAAACGCUGGUAAGCACUUAUGACUAAUGUAAAUACAGCUCGACUCUUCCACCCGUGGCAGUGCAUAUUUAAAAAAGAAAAAAAAAAAAAUAUUCCAUCCUUUCGUAUAUUCGUGCCCGAUAAAUAUACACCGAAUAAAACCGAACAAAUUCCUCGAAUCACGAAAGUGAAUCUAUCGAAAUAAUAAUUGAAUUCGUAACGAUUCGUCAACGUUUCAAAUCCAAUCUCUUUUCGAUAAGUAAUCGCUGCUCCUCUCCUCCCCUCUCCCCAUAAAGUUUCGUCUUUAUUACCAGGUGAUGUUGAGGGCGGAUGAUGCGGGAGUGGGGAUGAUUGAUGCGGCUCGGUUAUCGGGGACACGGACCAGAGAAGAUAGUCGAUCCACGGGUCUCAUUACCGCGACACGGGAUGCUCAUAUUAUCGUCAUUUUUAUUAAACACCGCUCGUACAUUUUCGCCGGGCCCGGGCCGAUAAUGGCGGGGAAAACGUUCGAUGAAAUAUUACCCGUGUUCGACGACGACGACCAUUCGCAUCCUCUCGUGCAGGAGGACAGGGGAGGGGCGAUGAUCGUUUCGUCGCGAGAUCCUUCCAUCGACGCCGGCCUUUAAAUCGAGAUCCGAGGUUUUACGAUUUUUCUUGGAAGCAUGGAAGGAGGAAUUUGGGAACGACAUCUGGGUAAAUAAGAUACGAGAUGCAGAAAACCGAUCUCAAUGGAUCAGAAAUACGAAGAAGAGUGUGAAGAAUAUUAUUUUUCAAAUAUUACUUGGAAGGAAAUAUUCAUCCACUUGCGUCCAAUUACGUACUCCCUCCUCCCCCCCCUGUCUAAUCACGUCCGAUCAAAUUACGAGGUUAAUGAACCCGAUCGAAAUUUAACGAGGGUCAUUUUCGUCACGCUCCCCUUUCGAUCGCAACCUCGGAUCGUGGAAGACGAGAGAGGAACAGUUUAAAGCUGCCGAAUCGAAGAGCUGCGCGCUCGCCACGCUCGCUUGCCCCGUAAUAAUUGACCCGGCAACGCGUACAAACCGCACCAUGGCGGACGAAUGGAUAAUUAACCAACAAUCAGGCUUCAGGUGUGCGUGUAUAUAUAUAUAUAUAUUGGAGCGCGGUUAGGGGGGAAAGAAGGAAGGAAUAGAGAAUACGAAAGGGCGACAUAUGGCAACUUUGCCAUUAUUACGAAAUUGACGAUUCAUUCGGGGGUGCCGUGCUCGACUUAUGCCACUUACGCCCUCCUCCUCCUCUUUCUUUUUCAAUUUUUCAUACACUCUCGUCUCGCUUCCCCUCUGGCUGUCACCCGCUGUCAUCAGUCUUCCCCUCUCCCCUCCCCAUACUUUUUUCCAUUAUUCGUUGAUCGUUCGGCCGCGAAAACACGGCACCACAACCCGUAACCGCAACUUCCUCCAUUCCUGCCUUUCCAUCGGUCUAAUGCCUCUCUCAUCGCUGUUCCAACGAUCCGUGAUCGUUGCUUAGUCGCGACUAACGAUCGAGUUAAAAAAGGUUGAAAAAAAAGGAGAAGAAGAAAGGGAUUCGCGGACGACUCUUGGAAACUCGUGGGUUAACGAUCGUGGACGAAACAUUGUUGCGUAAUCGAUCUCGUGGCGGAGAGGGUGGUGGUGGUGGAGGGAUAGUUUUGCGAAUAUUCCUGCUUUAUAUCGGUAUGUGGAGUAAUACGAGCGGAUGAAACAGAGUGGAAGCGAGGUACAUGACGAUCCUAUUUGCAAAUCGAAAUAUCGAUUACAACGAGGGACACACGUUUGGCAAAAUGGCCCUUUUUAUCGAUGAUAUUUGUUCGGUUAGAGAUAUUUGUACGCGGUAUUAUUACGUAUUAAAUUCGCGGAUAAAGUUUGAAAAUUAUCCUCUCUUCCGAAUCCAUUUAGCUAUCGCGAAACGCACAAUUAUAUCUCACGGCCACGUAUUAUUAUAAUUGUCUUUCAACGUCGUCAGUGGUAGACGAUCCUUCGUGUCCUUAAAAACAAAUAAUUGCAAGAAGCUAUUCGUUCUUGCCUUUUGAAAUAACAACGUGUAUACAUUGCGACGUCAAAAGUUACCUUUUACAAAAGGGCCGACCGUUUACCCACAACGAGCGUGAAAAUUCAAAUUCGGAAUCGCGUUACUCGCCGGUUGAUUGGCCACGCUCGAUUCGAGGGCAACGCGAUGAAAAUUCGGCAGAUUCACUUUCCAAGCGAAUUUUCCAAUAAUUCAAUAUAAUAGCCGGCCGGGGGGGAGGAGGGGGCGGGUGCAUGGUAAUUGGUGUUAACGAACACGCUCUGUCAUUCACGACAUCGAGAAUGACUGCGGCCGAGUGGAGCGUUUCCGGCUCACCGGCCAACUUCCGCGGCAGAACAAUGGGAGCGCUUAACGCACCGGCGAAAGUCGUUAGUCAGUGUUAUAUUCCGCAUAGGUAUGCGCGACGUGGCUGCCAAAUGCGUUAAUCUAAUUUUCUGGGCAUCGAUUAACGCCACACGGCCAACAUGGCCGACACCGCUGGCCGCAGCGGCGGAUAAACGAUCACGCUGAAUGGUUGGAGGGAGGGAGGAGAGGGGAAAAAAAAAAAAGAAAAAAUGGAAAUACGCGGCACGAAGAUCGUUUUUCCGCCAGAAUAUCCCGCGCGUUGCGUUGAACAGAGGAAACUGGCUCGAAAUUGUGCUCGUGCAUGCCCUCCCCCUUUUGCAGUCGGUCUGGAAAAAAUUCAAAUAAAUAAAUAAAUAAAGGUAUUUAUUUACGAUGGCUAUUUUUUUUUCCAUCUUCUUUUUUGCAAUGAAUUGUUUACGAAAGGUAAAGGUAUUUCGUCUUUAUCGAAAUUUAAUUUUGGAAAAGCGAAGAGACAUAUCUUAUUUCUUUCUUACAUAACGAUGUAAUCUCUGUAUAAAAAUUGAAAGAAAUAACUAAAACAUUUUUUUCCCCUGUUUUGAUCAUGAUUAAACGAAAUUAGUUCCCGUUAUCCGUCGAAAAAUGACUCUCUCACACCCGCGUCGUUAUUCAUCCAAUAUUAUUAUCGAUAAAUACCGGUAAAUAUUUCGAAAUAAUUUUUCUCAAAGUAUUUUCCUUAUCCGAACAAAUGAACAGAACGAAUACGAACAAAUCGUCCAAUUCUGCUCCACAAAUUUUCCUGAAACAUUCUCGAAAUUCCUCCUCCAGAAAUCAACCUGAACUCAAGAUCUAAACUUCUCGACACGGAAUCAUUAAAACGCACCAUCUGUCUCCAACAUUGCUACCAUUCACGCCGAUUUCGUUUAUUCCUCGCGCCACGGGGAGCGCUGCUGCCUUUUUAUUCCCCGACAAAUUAUCGUCCACUUUCUUCACCUCCUCCCCUCAACUUUUGAAAAUUCGAAAUGAGUUCGCGCGUGGGUGAUCGAUUUCUCGAGGAGAACGCCGCGGGCGGUCGAUCGAGGAGGAAGGGAAAAAGACAAGAUGCCCCGAAAUUAGUCGAAAUUAGCGAAUUCAAUCCGUACAGUUGCGUGGAAGCUGGAUCCAAUUAGAGGCGUGUUUCAUUCACCGUUCGACUGGCCCUCUGGCGAUCUCUCGAAAUUUCUUUUUAAUGGCUCGCUUUUCUUCCAGAUAGACUCUCUGUUACGUCACAUCCGGCACGAUUUACGAGGGAAUUAAAAGAUCGACGUGUACCCUACAGUCGUUAACGGAGUUGACGAGCUUGUUUCGAGCAUUGUCAAGACGUCUUCUUCUUGCUUCGUGUUCUCCUCCUCCUCGAAAAUGUUACGUUUAUCGUUGAAGAAUUUAAAGUUGACCGAAAUUUUAUUUAUUCAAUUGCUAGAAAUGCCAUUUUUCUUAGAUACGUAUCAGUUGUUUUGUAAACAGUUACGCGCAAUCACGUACAAUUAAAAUAUUCCUUCAGCAAAUUUCACUGUCUUGCCAACAUUUAUAUAUACGACAUAUAUUUAGAAUUGAUCGUGCAUCGAUUCCAAUCCGAUUCGAAGGAGACGAAAUUUUUACAGCUCGUGAUUUUAAUGGCGGAGAACGGAGAUAGGCAACAGAUAAUUCAUUCGUUUAAUUUUUCAUUUCUCUAUCGCCACGCGAAAUAAAUAAUAACACGGGAAAUUGAUCUCUUAUAAUAAUUCCCUCUUCUUCGUAGAUAUUAAAAACCAACUUUUCGAUCCUCCGAAAACUUUCCAUCCAAUUAUCAUUUCCCCUUGUUCUCGCUCUUCUCCAGUUGACCUGUCGAGAGAGCUGCACCUGUUAGAAUCCGUCGAAACCUGGGUCGAAGGUGGUGGUUAGCGGUGUUUCGUCGCCGAAAUUACGGGCAUUUCCGAGACAUCUCGAGGCGAGGAAAAUGGAGGCCGACGGAUAACUCGACAGGGGAAGGGAGACCUUCCGGUUAAUCUAAUGGCCGUCCACUUAAGAGAGCUUUUCGUGCCGGUAAUCGAGAAAAUUGGUAAAGUGGAGAUGCGUACGUUGGAAUCAAGGCAAAGCGCGGUUGACAGGGGAUCGUUAAUUUAUCGAUCGAAAUAACAGGCUUGUGCGCAGGCAAAUCGUUUUCCCUUAAACGCAUUCUUAUCUUGGACCGCCACCACCGAAACUUUUCCAUUUCCAAAUUUCAUUUCAGAAUUGAUCUCUUAUCAAAAGAAAAAUAAAAAAAUCAUCUCUCGUUCCACCUCACCUCCCCCAACUUCCCCCGAUCGAGUUUACUCUACACAAUCUACGCCUCUCGACGCUUAGUCAUCGCCUCGAACAAAAGCUUACCCUCCCCCCGACAAUGGAGGCCGUCGAAAGGCAGAGAGAGAGAGAGAAAGAAUCCGUGAAAAUCGAAUUAACCGCGCACGAUUACGAAUAACAAAUCCAGCGCGUUAAUGAGCGUCGCCGGAAGCGUACGAGUGCACGCCAAGAGGGGGAAUUCCGGGUAAGAGAGAGAACGACACCUGCGGCCGGUUCGCAGCUUCCGGUUCGCCUGUGGGGGCACACACGGGCGGCAAAGGGGACAGAAUGCACCGGUGGCGCGAUAAAAUCGUCUAAUUGUUUCGCUAAGCGUAUGCGAAUGUCCAACGCUCACGCGCGCCGUCGUCGCUUUCGUGCCCGAACGUAUUUUUCCCGCUCUUUUUUUCCUUCCUCCUUUUCCCUCGUUUUAUUUAUUUAUUUAUUCUUCUUCCUCCUCGCAAAGGAUCCGUAAUCGUAUCAUCACUGCGGGGGAAACGAGAAUGACGCCGAUCAAACGAAAUCGUUCCUUUCUUCUCCUUCCAGAUUAAUUCGCUCCGCAGACCGUAAUGCGUGUUGCAAUUAACGUAACUAACGUAACCGAGAGUUAACCUCUCUUCCUCCUACUUUUCUUUGUAACGCGCCAGGAGACUCGCAGAAAACAACAAUGCGCCUCUUAAUGAUGGUUAUAUAUGUAUAUAUAUAUAUUUAUUUCGUAGGAUAUAGGAGAUUGGAAUAAUAUAAUUCAAAGAGGGUACGUUUCGUAAAUAAGUUCGUAAGCGGAUGAUACAUCUUUCUGAACUGAAAACAAGGAAUCCCCCGAUUUUUACCGAUUUCAAAUUAUGCAAUACGCGAUAAUGCAAAAAGAUUAUUGCUAUAUGCAGAUACGCGAGAGUUGUUUUUCAAGACGUCUAAAUAUGUAUGUAUAUUUCUAUUUCGCACACGAUAUUUUCUUUAUUACUUCAACGUGUAUCUCGUGUAUCUCUUUUAACCAUUUAUUUAUGAAUCAUUCUGUACAUAUUUAUUGCAUAUCCCGUAUCAAGAUCCUUGCUUCCCCUUCCACGCCGAGAUGGAAAUUGAGGAACGUAUGCGAAUUCAGAAGUAUAAAUGUUUCCCGAGGCGGUUCGAUGCCGAUUCAACAGCGAUAAAAGCGCAACAUGUUUCAAUCGCGGAACGUAGUGUGUGUGCGUAUAUGGAAGAAACGUCGGUUUAAUUACGUUAAAUCUGAUGUUAUUAAUCCAAACGUGUUGCGCUAGCAGCCGCGCCUCUUCGAGGAAAUAGCAAUAAUAAUAAUAAUAAUAAUAAUAAUAUUGUAAUAUUUUCUUGACCGGUAAAAAGAGUGGUUUCAGGCGUUGGUAAAGGUGGAAUAUCGUGGAGUCGAAUAAUGGUAGGAAAUUGCUGCGGCGUUCUUCUGAACCGGACGUGGAGAGCGAAUCGACGUGUUAAGCUUAGCAAUAGAACGAAGCAGAUAAUCCGGUUUGGAUGGACUUUCUCCCAUCAUGGGAUCAGCGCCCUCGUACGGCCAACAACCCGACCACGUGGAUUUAAAUGGCGUCUUUAAGAAUCGUCUCUUAAACAGCAAUUUAGUGGACAAAUCAUGGGGAAACAUCGGAGAGAUACCGAUAGAUCAACCGUUCCUUCACGAUAGGAAGCGCGAUACAAAUUGGCUUGACAACCAACUUUAUUAUUCUAGCCUCACAAGAUUUAUAAUUAUCUUCGCUUCACGAUCUUCGAACACGUCUCACAACAAACGAAAUAUAAAAGAGUUGAAGAGAAACUUGAUGUAUAAAAACCUUUGUAUAAAUGAUAAAUACAAAAAUACAAAAAAUUGCAAGAUUUCUCGUAUCGAACGGGUUCUCUAAAAGCAGCAGCAGCGUUUCAUCGUUGUUCCCAUGCGAGAUAUAUAUAUAUAUAUAUAUAUAAAAGCGCGUUGUAUCGUAAAAAUUAAACGACGUUCAUG